UAGAGACUGACUAGAGACUACUGCUGCUCAGGUGAGGAUAGGUCAAGUAGAGACUGAGUAGAGACUACUGCUGCUCAGAUAGGGCUGAGGGUAGGUCAAGUAGAGACUACUGCUGCUCAGGUAGGGCUGAGAAUAGGUCAAGUAGAGACUGACUAGACUACUGCUGUUCAGACAGGGCUGAGGAUAGGUCAAGUAGAGACUACUGCUCAGAUUGGGCUGAGGAUAGGUCAAGUAGUGACUACUGCUGCUCAGAUAGGGCUGAGAAUAGGUCAAGUAGAGACUACUGCUGCUCAGAUAGGGCUGAGGAUAGGUCAAGUACAGACUGACUAGAGGCUACUGCUGCUCAGAGAGGGCUGAGGAUAGGUCAAGUAGAGACUGACUAGACUACUGCUGCUCAGAUAGAGCUGAGGAUAGGUAAAGUAGAGACUACUGCUGCUCAGAUAUGGCUGAGGAUAGGUCAAAUAGAGACUGACUAGAGACUACUGCUGUUCAGACAGGGCUGAGGAUAGGUCAAGUAGAGACUACUGCUCAGAUUGGGCUGAGGAUAGGUCAAGUAGAGACUACUGCUGUUCGGGUAGGGCUGAGGAUAGGUCAAGUAGUGACUACUGCUGCUCAGUGCUGAGGAUGGGUCAAGUAGAGACUACUGCUGCUCAGAUAUGGCUGAGGAUAGGUCAAGUAGAGACUGACUGGAGACUACUGCUGUUCAGAUAGAGCUGAGGAUUGUUCAAAUAGAGACUACUGCUGCUCAGAUAGGGCUGAGGAUAGGUCAAGUAGAGACUGACUGGAGACUAAUGAUGCUCAGAUAGGGCUGAGGAUUGGUCAAGUAGAGACUGACUAGAGACUACUGCUGCUCAGAUAAAGCUGAGGAUAGGUCAAGUAGAGACUAACUAGAGACUACUGCUGUUCAGAUAGGGCUGAGGAUAGGUCAAGUAGAGACUGACUAGAGACUACUGCUGCUCAGAUAGGGCUGAGGAUAGGUCAAGUAGAGACUGACUGGAGACUACUGCUGCUCAGAUAG
rnacentral:lncRNA from 1 species